rnacentral:rRNA from 1 species
GCUUGCUCCACCGGAAAAAGAAGAGUGGCGAACGGGUGAGUAACACGUGGGUAACCUGCCCAUCAGAAGGGGAUAACACUUGGAAACAGGUGCUAAUACCGUAUAACAAUCGAAACCGCAUGGUUUUGAUUUGAAAGGCGCUUUCGGGUGUCGCUGAUGGAUGGACCCGCGGUGCAUUAGCUAGUUGGUGAGGUAACGGCUCACCAAGGCCACGAUGCAUAGCCGACCUGAGAGGGUGAUCGGCCACAUUGGGACUGAGACACGGCCCAAACUCCUACGGGAGGCAGCAGUAGGGAAUCUUCGGCAAUGGACGAAAGUCUGACCGAGCAACGCCGCGUGAGUGAAGAAGGUUUUCGGAUCGUAAAACUCUGUUGUUAGAGAAGAACAAGGAUGAGAGUAACUGUUCAUCCCUUGACGGUAUCUAACCAGAAAGCCACGGCUAACUACGUGCCAGCAGCCGCGGUAAUACGUAGGUGGCAAGCGUUGUCCGGAUUUAUUGGGCGUAAAGCGAGCGCAGGCGGUUUCUUAAGUCUGAUGUGAAAGCCCCCGGCUCAACCGGGGAGGGUCAUUGGAAACUGGGAGACUUGAGUGCAGAAGAGGAGAGUGGAAUUCCAUGUGUAGCGGUGAAAUGCGUAGAUAUAUGGAGGAACACCAGUGGCGAAGGCGGCUCUCUGGUCUGUAACUGACGCUGAGGCUCGAAAGCGUGGGGAGCAAACAGGAUUAGAUACCCUGGUAGUCCACGCCGUAAACGAUGAGUGCUAAGUGUUGGAGGGUUUCCGCCCUUCAGUGCUGCAGCUAACGCAUUAAGCACUCCGCCUGGGGAGUACGACCGCAAGGUUGAAACUCAAAGGAAUUGACGGGGGCCCGCACAAGCGGUGGAGCAUGUGGUUUAAUUCGAAGCAACGCGAAGAACCUUACCAGGUCUUGACAUCCUUUGACCACUCUAGAGAUAGAGCUUCCCCUUCGGGGGCAAAGUGACAGGUGGUGCAUGGUUGUCGUCAGCUCGUGUCGUGAGAUGUUGGGUUAAGUCCCGCAACGAGCGCAACCCUUAUUGUUAGUUGCCAUCAUUCAGUUGGGCACUCUAGCAAGACUGCCGGUGACAAACCGGAGGAAGGUGGGGAUGACGUCAAAUCAUCAUGCCCCUUAUGACCUGGGCUACACACGUGCUACAAUGGGAAGUACAACGAGUCGCGAAGUCGCGAGGCUAAGCUAAUCUCUUAAAGCUUCUCUCAGUUCGGAUUGCAGGCUGCAACUCGCCUGCAUGAAGCCGGAAUCGCUAGUAAUCGCGGAUCAGCACGCCGCGGUGAAUACGUUCCCGGGCCUUGUACACACCGCCCGUCACACCACGAGAGUUUGUAACACCCGAAGUCGGUGAGGUAACCUUUGGAGCCAGC